GUGGGGAAUAUUGGACAAUGGGCGAAAGCCUGAUCCAGCAAUGCCGCGUGAGUGAUGAAGGCCUUAGGGUUGUAAAGCUCUUUUACCAGGGAUGAUAAUGACAGUACCUGGAGAAUAAGCUCCGGCUAACUCCGUGCCAGCAGCCGCGGUAAUACGGAGGGAGCUAGCGUUGUUCGGAAUUACUGGGCGUAAAGCGCACGUAGGCGGCUACUCAAGUCAGAGGUGAAAGCCCGGGGCUCAACCCCGGAACUGCCUUUGAAACUAGGUAGCUAGAAUCUUGGAGAGGUCAGUGGAAUUCCGAGUGUAGAGGUGAAAUUCGUAGAUAUUCGGAAGAACACCAGUGGCGAAGGCGACUGACUGGACAAGUAUUGACGCUGAGGUGCGAAAGCGUGGGGAGCAAACAGGAUUAGAAACCCUAGUAGUCC
rnacentral:rRNA from 1 species